UACGGGGGGAGCAAGCGUUGUUCGGAUUUACUGGGCGUAAAGGGCGCGUAGGCGGUCAGCACAAGUCAGUUGUGAAAUCUCCGAGCUUAACUCGGAAAGGUCAACUGAUACUGUGCGACUAGAGUGCGGAAGGGGCAACUGGAAUUCUUGGUGUAGCGGUGAAAUGCGUAGAUAUCAAGAGGAACACCUGCGGCGAAGGCGGGUUGCUGGGCCGACACGUGACGCUGAAGCGCGAAAGCCAGGGGAGCGAACGGGG
rnacentral:rRNA from 1 species